rnacentral:rRNA from 1 species
GACUCAGUGAAAUUGAACUCGCUGUGAAGAUGCAGUGUACCCGCGGCAAGACGGAAAGACCCCGUGAACCUUUACUAUAGCUUGACACUGAACAUUGAGCCUUGAUGUGUAGGAUAGGUGGGAGGCUUUGAAGCGUGGACGCCAGUCUGCGUGGAGCCGACCUUGAAAUACCACCCUUUAAUGUUUGAUGUUCUAACGUGGACCCGUGAUCCGGGUUGCGGACAGUGUCUGGUGGGUAGUUUGACUGGGGCGGUCUCCUCCUAAAG